AUUGAACGCUAGCGGGAUGCUUUACACAUGCAAGUCGAACGGCAGCGCGGACUUCGGUCUGGCGGCGAGUGGCGAACGGGUGAGUAAUGUAUCGGAACGUGCCCAGUAGCGGGGGAUAACUACGCGAAAGCGUAGCUAAUACCGCAUACGCCCUACGGGGGAAAGCAGGUGAUCGUAAGACCUUGCACUAUUGGAGCGGCCGAUAUCGGAUUAGCUAGUUGGUGAGGUAACGGCUCACCAAGGCGACGAUCCGUAGCUGGUUUGAGAGGACGACCAGCCACACUGGGACUGAGACACGGCCCAGACUCCUACGGGAGGCAGCAGUGGGGAAUUUUGGACAAUGGGGGCAACCCUGAUACAGCCAUCCCGCGUGUGCGAUGAAGGCCUUCGGGUUGUAAAGCACUUUUGGCAGGAAAGAAACGUAGCGGGCUAAUACCCCGUGGAACUGACGGUACCUGCAGAAUAAGCACCGGCUAACUACGUG
rnacentral:rRNA from 1 species